ACUCCAGACUCCUACGGGAGGCAGCAGUGGGGAAUAUUGGACAAUGGGGGGAACCCUGAUCCAGCGACGCCGCGUGAGUGAAGAAGUAUUUCGGUAUGUAAAGCUCUAUCAGCAGGGAAGAAAGAAAUGAUGGUACCUGACUAAGAAGCCCCGGCUAACUACGUGCCAGCAGCCGCAGUAAUACGUAGGGGGCAAGCGUUAUCCGGAUUUACUGGGUGUAAAGGGAGCGUAGACGGCGAUGCAAGUCUGAAGUGAAAGGCGGGGGCCCAACCCCCGGACUGCUUUGGAAACUGUAUGGCUGGAGUGCAGGAGAGGUAAGUGGAAUUCCUAGUGUAGCGGUGAAAUGCGUAGAUAUUAGGAGGAACACCAGUGGCGAAGGCGGCCUACUGGACGGUGACUGACGCUGAGGCUCGAAAGCGUGGGGAGCAAACAGGAUUAGAUACCCGAGUAGCC
rnacentral:rRNA from 1 species